rnacentral:lncRNA from 1 species
AGAGCGGCCUAGCAGGCUCUCGAGAGUGAGGGAGGCACUGGGGCCCCUGCCGACUGCCCUGGCUGAGCCAGCCCGGCGUGAACGAAAGCCCGCCCCUGAGACCCCGUGACCCGGCGGCUCCUAGCCACAGGCUUCCUGACUACCUUAUAGGCACCCAGUCACAGUCAGCGCUAGCUCUGUCAAUCACCGUGGGCACCCAAUCAUCACGUGCUCCCAGUGCCUGUGGGACUCCUUGACAGCACGGGCUCCUGGACACCAUGUGCUUCCUAUCACCGUGGCUCCUGAACCACGUGCACCUGAUCACCCCAGGCUUGAGUUCCUUGCUUCCUCUGGCAUUGCUGAUAUUACUGCCAAUCCAGCCUCCUUGGUUGUCACUUCCCGUGAGAGGGACUUGGCAGUGGAACUUGACUGUGGAGAAACUCAAGUGUGAGACUGCAGAUUGCUUCCCUUAGACUGUCACAGGGUGAGUGCAAGGCUUACUUCCCUUUCCUUGUUUUUUCUGGAGGCACUAGCCUCCAAGGAGGCCCCUCAUCUUGGAGGAGGCCUCAUAGCUGGAAGCUGUGCUAGAUUUAAUCCUUUGUCUGUCCUGCCUCACCUCACCCUGGCUGGGGCCUCUGAACUCCUGCCUUGUAUCUCUCCCCUUUUCCUCUCUUUUAUUCCUUAAUAUCUUCACUCUAUUUAAAUAAACCACCAUAAAAUUCCA